AUAAGGGACUGCUGGGGGCGAAGCCCGGUCUUUUACGUCGGGAUUCUGAAGAUUGUGGUUGUGUGGCUGGUGAGUGGUUGUCGCGGUCGAGUUGCUGAGUGAGGGAGGAGGCUGAGGCUGCAGUACUGUGAGGCGUUUUAGAGAUAUGAACGUGGAGUACUGUAUGUCGAAAUCUUUUUGGUGGGAAAAGCGCAGCCGGACCGCCGCCACGUGUGCUAAGAUUGAGUUGUGGUGGCUGCACGCUUAGGCGUGAGGAGGCCCCUAAUCUGCCAAACGCGGCCUGGAAACUGGAUUCCUACUGCAGGCUGGACUGACUCUGAGCGGCACAGAACUACGUCCAAAUUUCCAGACUGUUUGCUGGCAAGUCUAUUUCGACUCAUGGCGACCCAAGAUACCGAGCUCCCCGCGCCCCCGCAGAACAAGGACAGUGUCUACUGGUAUAUCGAAUCUGCUGUGUGGAGAUGUCAAGAUACAAAGAAAAAUUCCAAGACAUCUGAAAGAGUAUUUACUGGAAAAUUCCUUGUUUAAAACCUGACAAUCUUAGCAGUGAAUGGUUGCUGUCUGCUCAUUGAAGGAAGGCCAGUUUGUUGUGACAUUCCUUCCUAAGUAACUUCCUGACCUAGUACCAAGAGGAUUAUUUGUCUGGUGUGAAGUGCUGGUGGUGAAAAGCCCAGAAAAAGGAACUUUUCAUUUUACAGACAUGGAAAGGAAACAUGGAGUCUGGUUGUAUCAAGAGAAAGUGUUUUAGAGUAACAUCAAAUUUUGUGAAUUUGGAUCAUGAACCAACACUGAGUCUAGAUUUAAGUAUUCACAAGAUUCAAGCCACUACCCUAGAGGGUCACAAACUAUUAACAAGUAUGUUGUUUGUCAGAACUGUUUCUUAAGUUAUACAUAAAGGUGAGAAGUAGAAUGCGCAGUGUUUAAAAAUUCUUUGUUUUCAGUUAAGCAACCUUAAAAUUCUGAAUGAAUGUUCAUCUGUGCUCACCUGUUUGAAUUGCAUAAUUGUGAGUAAAGCUUAUGUUGAAAUUUGUA